GGAGACAGGUGGUCCAGUGUGCUCAGACCCAGAGGAGCUGGAAGACAGGUGGUCCAGUGCGCUCAGACCCAGAGGAGCUGGAAGACAGGUGGUCCAGUGCGCUCAGACCCAGAGGAGCUGGAAGACAGAUCUGGUGCACUCAGCUUUUCUUCUCUGCUUGCACUCAUGUGCGGUCAGAUGCAUCUCUAAGUGAACUGCUUACAGAGGAUGCAGAUGGGCUUGGGGAGCAGCACUGAAGAAGGAAGUGGUUUCUACCAAAAGGUCGCCUCAGGCCGACACAAGCGCAGACCUUUAACAGCCAUCUGUCCCGUGAGAAUUUGUGCUUAGAAUGUUGACCCUCAGUCUCUAAAAGAACUUGAAAGAUGAAAACUGAAAUGAUUUUCUCACACUGCUUCAAAGUCAAAUAUAUUUUCUUAUAUUUUAAUUCCACGAAAAAUCUGUGAAAAUUGAAGAUUGUAGGUUAACUUACCUCGUUUCUGGUUAAGAAAUUUCAGGCUCAGAGACAGAAGUUAGUUCUAGUGCUUAAAAUAUUAGACUACCAGAGUUGCUUCUAUAAAGAAAACACUAUAGACAAUGCACGUUCGGCUGUAGUGCAGACAGCACAUGGCAUGUAUGUCAGAAUGAUUCACCAAAGACGCCUAGCCAAGUAACACACGGAAAAUUCUUUGAGAAGUAACAGUUGUGGAUUUAGGAGUCUAUAAAAGUAUAAGUUCAUAAAUGCACAAGAAUAGCAAAGAGAAACUAUGAUUAAAGGAAAAUCCACCUGUUUAAAAUAUUAAAAUGUUAACAGAACUGAAAUUACUGAGAUAGUAACUCUAGAAAAAACAAAACUAAAAGUCUCAAAAUAGUCAUUUUGUGACUUAGAGUUGGCACACGGCCUGCUUUUAUUAGCAGAACACUGAUCAAAAAUGGCCCUCACAAAAAACCCUGUCCAGACUGUCAGUGCACUUUGUCUCCAAAUUAUCUUUCAAUAAUGUUACUAUGAAGUUUUACAUCAUUAGCCUCUCCAUGCUGUCAUGUGCAUGAUUAAGUGUGGAGUAGAAGCUGGGAUCUUUCCACUGGAAAUUUAAAUUGAAUCACCAACCAUUCCAACAUAAGUAUAUUACAUGAAAGAAAGGGAUAAAAACAUUCCUAAAACAAUCCCCCCAAAUUAAUGUAGGUAAGAUUAUUAGCCUAGUUUUCUCCUCCAAACCUGGAUUUUAAUAAAUUAAUCUAUUAGAACUUUCAUUGCCUAACAAAAUGUUCCUUAAAUUCAGUUUGAUAGUGAUCUUAGUCACCAAAUCAGAAAUCAAUAGCAUGUUGGAUAGAUUUUAUUUUUCAGAGAUGAAGUUACCAAGAUAAAGAAAAGGAUCCCCCAUAAAGCAAGGCUGUUGGGGGCACUAACCAUUUCCUGCCCUGUGAGGCGAUCAGGUUUUUGGAGGGACCUCCUUACAGCCUCUGUCUGGUUGAGAAAUGCACGUUUCCUGUUAAUUCUGUAAUCACCUCUCUUGCCUGACUUCCUCCUUUCUCUCCCUACCAUCCAAGACUCGUCUGUUUGAAAUAGAAUGAGCUAUUGUGUGCAUGCUGUUUAACAAGAACUGAGUUCACUAAAAUGGGUUUAACUAAAUUGUAAAUGCUGAAAUACUUAUCUCUGUUUCUGGCAAAUACUCAUAUACUUUAUCUCAUUGAAAGUAGGUGUAUUUAUCCAGUAAAGAACUAAUGAAAGAUUUUAGUCUUACAGCUUUAUUUAGAAGAAGAAGUCAGCUUUUAAAAAUAGGUGUGGCCACCACGGAAGAGAACUAAUAGGAAUUACUCUGAUUUUAUGAGAAAUGUUUAACAAUCUUUCAACUGUUUAAUAACCUAAUUUUUAAAGAAAGUCUGAGUUACAAAUCAUAGAUACAUGUGGCUAGGCUUAGAUUUCUAAGACGAUUUAAUGUGAAUAAUUUGAUUGCAGUAAGUUGGGACUUAGGGCAUUGAUACCAAAGCAGUUGGCUUUGUCAUGGUAACAGGAAUGCAGGACUGAAAAGUGUGAAGAAAAUAUAAGGAGAAAACACCUAAAGUAUUUGAAGGGGACAAAUAGUAUUUAAGAACAUCCAGAGAAGCUGCAUAGUUCCUAUUUGCCACUUGGUGUUUUGCAUGCACCAGAAGGGGCAGAGCUGGUCAGUGAUGCGUGCCUGUCUCUGAGCCAAACUUCCCAACAUUUGACAUUUGAUUAUGCUGGACUAUCCUGGACUUUAGUAUCAUAAUGAAACUAAGAUUCCCCUGGAAAGACUG